rnacentral:lncRNA from 1 species
GGGAAGAUAGAGCGGUCCUGCCCUCAGCCACCAUCUUGUUUAAAACCCUGUCUCCGCCGUCUCCAGAGCAGUCGUCUACAAGCAAACCUAGAAAAAGUUCACUGUAAUGAAGAGUGGGGUAUCAGAUUUCACUGACGUUCUUUAAGUCCUAGGAGGUGUCCGCGAAGCCAGAAACAUGCUCUCCCUCGGAAUGAGUUUACCUGGCCCUCGUUCUAGGGAAAAAAGCUGCUGCUUUUCCUGAAAGGUUAUAAUCUUACCUCUCCAGUUCCAGGAUUUUCAGCACUACCUGUAUGCCUUCAUUGCUUCAGUAAGCUAAGUGGACAACAGAAUUGUGUAACAAGACAAGCAACUAAGCUGGGCUUGGAAUCUGGUUGUUUUGUUUGAGAUGUGACCUGCUAGAUGGAAACUGCAAACACUCGUUUGAAUGAAUACAUUUAUGUAGCAUAUAAUAUCAUCACCCCCAGCUCUUCCUACUCAGUUUUCUGUGUUUUAUGGCAUUUGCUUUGAGAGAGAGAAAACAACAACAACAGUCUUCCUGAGAGUAUUGUUUAAAAGUCCAAUUUCUGCUCUUGUCAAAGAUGUAUUACAUGACCCAACAAUUCCAGUCCUAGGUAUCUACCUCCCUCCAAAAUUAAAAACAGGUAUUCACAUCCUUGCACGCUAAUGUUUACAGCCGCACUAUUCAUGGUGGUCAAAACGUGGAAACAAAGGGGUUCAUUCCCAUUGUGGCUCGGCCGGUUAAGAACCUACUAGUAUCCGCGAGAGAAUGCAGGUUGGAUCCCUGGCUUCACACAGUGGGUUAAGGAUCCUGCGUUGCUGCAAGCCACAGUGUAGGUGGUAGAUGUGACUGUGAUCCCAUGUUGGUGUGGCUGUGGUGUAGGCUGGCAGCUGCAGCUCCCAUCGGACCCCUAGCCUGGGAAUUUCGAUAUGCCAGGAGUGGCCCUAAAAAAAAUUGUGUUUUUUUUAAAUUAAUUAAUUUUUUUGUCAAAAACUUUUUAAAGGUGGAAACAACCCAAACAUCCGUCAACAGAUGAAUGAGUAAAUUGUGGCAUGUGUGUGUAAUGGACUAUGAAUCGCCAAAAGGAAUGAAGUGUUAAUGCAUGCUCCAGCUCGAUGAACUUUGAAAACAUUUUGCUAAGAAGCCAAAAAAGGUCACAUGCUUUAUGCUUUCAUUGAUAAGAGAUAUUCAGAGUAGGUAAGUACAUAGAAACAAAAAGCAGACUGGCGGCUUCUCUUGCGAAAAAGUGAGUUAAAGAUGCGGCACCGUCCCUGUAGGGACUCAGGUCGCUGCUGUGGUGUGAGUUGGAUCCUUGGCCAGGGAACUUCCACAUGCCGCGGAUGCAGCCAAAAAGGGAAAAAAAAAAAAAAAAAA